AGAAUCAACGCUGGCGGCGUGCCUAACACAUGCAAGUCGAACGAGAAAGUGGAGCAAUCCAUGAGUAAAGUGGCGCACGGGUGAGUAACACGUGACUAACCUACCCUUGAGUGGGGGAUAACCUAGAGAAAUCUGGGCUAAUACCGCAUAAUACCUUCGGGUCAAUGGAGCAAUUCGCUUAAGGAGGGGGUCGCGGCCGAUUAGUUAGUUGGCGGGGUAAUGGCCCACCAAGACUGUGAUCGGUA
rnacentral:rRNA from 1 species